rnacentral:rRNA from 1 species
GCAAGUCAAACGGAUGUGCCUACAAAGCUUCGGUGGAGUAGGAGUUACACAUUAGUGGCAGACGGGUGAGUAACACGCAAACAAUCUACCAUUCAGACGGGGACAACCUUGGGAAACUAGGGCUAAUACCGGAUACGCUUUUAGAGUCGCAUGGCUUUAAAAGGAAAUCAGCUUGCUGGCUGAAUGAUGAGUUUGCGGCUGAUUAGUUUGUUGGUGGGGUAAUGGCCUACCAAGACUAUGAUCAGUAGCUGGUCUGAGAGGAUGAAC